CUGACAAGAGGAGCGGUAGAGACGCGAGGCUGUGUAGGGGCUCCCGGAGCCGAAGGUCGUGGGUCUGAAAGAAGGGGGUCAUCAGGAGUUGGUGACAUUCAGGGAUGUGAUCGUGGACUUUCCUGAGGAGGAGUCGUGCCUCUUGUACCAUUCUCAGGAAGAGCUUUACAAGGAGGUCAUGCUGGAGAAUAUCCAGAACCUGCUGUCCCUAGGUCAGCUUGUAGAGCCCAACGCCUAGAACCAGAGGAAAUGGCCCCUGCCACCCUGACACCCUCAUCCCAGGAGUUGGUGACCUUCAAGGAUGUGGUUGUGGACUUCACUGAGGAGGAGUGGUGCCUCUUGGACCAUUCUCAGAAAAAGCUGUACAUAGAGGUCAUGCUGGAAAAUAUCCAGAAUCUGCUGUCCCUGGAUGUAGAGACCAAGUUUGAAGUAAAUGAGAUGCCUA